rnacentral:pre_miRNA from 1 species
AGUGGGAUAGCUGGGUCAAAUGGUGGUUCCAUUCCCAGUUUUCCAAGGAAUCUCCAUACUGUUUUCCAUAUUGGCUGCACCAUUUUGCAGUCCCAUUAGCAAU